rnacentral:rRNA from 1 species
GGUUAAGUUAGAAAGGGCGCACGGUGGAUGCCUUGACACUAGGAGUCGAUGAAGGACGGGACUAACGCCGAUAUGCUUCGGGGAGCUGUAAGUAAGCUUUGAUCCGAAGAUUUCCGAAUGGGGAAACCCACCAUACGUAAUGGUAUGGUAUCCUUAUCUGAAUACAUAGGGUAAGGAAGACAGACCCAGGGAACUGAAACAUCUAAGUACCUGGAGGAAGAGAAAGCAAAUGCGAUUUCCUGAGUAGCGGCGAGCGAAACGGAACAUAGCCCAAACCAAGAGGCUUGCCUCUUGGGGUUGUAGGACAUUCUAUACGGAGUUACAAAGGAACGAGGUAGACGAAGCGACCUGGAAAGGUCCGUCGUAGAGGGUAACAACCCCGUAGUCGAAACUUCGUUCUCUCUUGAAUGUAUCCUGAGUACGGCGGAACACGUGAAAUUCCGUCGGAAUCUGGGAGGACCAUCUCCCAAGGCUAAAUACUCCCUAGUGAUCGAUAGUGAACCAGUACCGUGAGGGAAAGGUGAAAAGCACCCCGGAAGGGGAGUGAAAGAGAUCCUGAAACCGUGUGCCUACAAAUAGUCAGAGCCCGUUAACGGGUGAUGGCGUGCCUUUUGUAGAAUGAACCGGCGAGUUACGAUCCCGUGCGAGGUUAAGCUGAAGAGGCGGAGCCGCAGCGAAAGCGAGUCUGAAUAGGGCGUUUAGUACGUGGUCGUAGACCCGAAACCAGGUGAUCUACCCAUGUCCAGGGUGAAGUUCAGGUAACACUGAAUGGAGGCCCGAACCCACGCACGUUGAAAAGUGCGGGGAUGAGGUGUGGGUAGCGGAGAAAUUCCAAUCGAACCUGGAGAUAGCUGGUUCUCCCCGAAAUAGCUUUAGGGCUAGCCUUAAGUGUAAGAGUCUUGGAGGUAGAGCACUGAUUGGACUAGGGGUCCUCAUCGGAUUACCGAAUUCAGUCAAACUCCGAAUGCCAAUGACUUAUCCUUAGGAGUCAGACUGCGAGUGAUAAGAUCCGUAGUCAAAAGGGAAACAGCCCAGACCGCCAGCUAAGGUCCCAAAGUGUGUAUUAAGUGGAAAAGGAUGUGGAGUUGCUUAGACAACUAGGAUGUUGGCUUAGAAGCAGCCACCAUUUAAAGAGUGCGUAAUAGCUCACUAGUCGAGUGACUCUGCGCCGAAAAUGUACCGGGGCUAAAUACACCACCGAAGCUGCGGAUUGAUACCGAAUGGUAUCAGUGGUAGGGGAGCGUUCUAAGGACAGUGAAGUCAGACCGUAAGGACUGGUGGAGUGCUUAGAAGUGAGAAUGCCGGUAUGAGUAGCGAAAGACGGGUGAGAAUCCCGUCCACCGAAUGCCUAAGGUUUCCUGAGGAAGGCUCGUCCGCUCAGGGUUAGUCAGGACCUAAGCCGAGGCCGACAGGCGUAGGCGAUGGACAACAGGUUGAUAUUCCUGUACCACCUCUUUAUCGUUUGAGCAAUGGAGGGAAGCAGAAGGAUAGAAGAAGCGUGCGAUUGGUUGUGCACGUCCAAGCAGUUAGGCUGAUAAGUAGGCAAAUCCGCUUAUCGUAAAGGCUGAGCUGUGAUGGGGAAGCUCCUUAUGGAGCGAAGUCUUUGAUUCCCCGCUGCCAAGAAAAGCUUCUAGCGAGAUAAAAGGUGCCUGUACCGCAAACCGACACAGGUAGGCGAGGAGAGAAUCCUAAGGUGUGCGAGAGAACUCUGGUUAAGGAACUCGGCAAAAUGACCCCGUAACUUCGGGAGAAGGGGUGCUUUCUUAACGGAAAGCCGCAGUGAAUAGGCCCAAGCGACUGUUUAGCAAAAACACAGCUCUCUGCGAAGCCGUAAGGCGAAGUAUAGGGGGUGACACCUGCCCGGUGCUGGAAGGUUAAGGAGAGGGGUUAGCGUAAGCGAAGCUCUGAACUGAAGCCCCAGUAAACGGCGGCCGUAACUAUAACGGUCCUAAGGUAGCGAAAUUCCUUGUCGGGUAAGUUCCGACCCGCACGAAAGGUGUAACGAUUUGGGCACUGUCUCAACCAGAGACUCGGUGAAAUUAUAGUACCUGUGAAGAUGCAGGUUACCCGCGACAGGACGGAAAGACCCCGUGGAGCUUUACUGUAGCCUGAUAUUGAAUUUUGGUACAGUUUGUACAGGAUAGGCGGGAGCCAUUGAAACCGGAGCGCUAGCUUCGGUGGAGGCGCUGGUGGGAUACCGCCCUGACUGUAUUGAAAUUCUAACCUACGGGUCUUAUCGACCCGGGAGACAGUGUCAGGUGGGCAGUUUGACUGGGGCGGUCGCCUCCUAAAGUGUAACGGAGGCGCCCAAAGGUUCCCUCAGAAUGGUUGGAAAUCAUUCGUAGAGUGCAAAGGCAUAAGGGAGCUUGACUGCGAGACCUACAAGUCGAGCAGGGACGAAAGUCGGGCUUAGUGAUCCGGUGGUUCCGCAUGGAAGGGCCAUCGCUCAACGGAUAAAAGCUACCCCGGGGAUAACAGGCUUAUCUCCCCCAAGAGUCCACAUCGACGGGGAGGUUUGGCACCUCGAUGUCGGCUCAUCGCAUCCUGGGGCUGUAGUCGGUCCCAAGGGUUGGGCUGUUCGCCCAUUAAAGCGGUACGCGAGCUGGGUUCAGAACGUCGUGAGACAGUUCGGUCCCUAUCCGUCGUGGGCGUAGGAAAUUUGAGAGGAGCUGUCCUUAGUACGAGAGGACCGGGAUGGACGCACCGCUGGUGUACCAGUUGUUCUGCCAAGGGCAUAGCUGGGUAGCUAUGUGCGGAAGGGAUAAGUGCUGAAAGCAUCUAAGCAUGAAGCCCCCCUCAAGAUGAGAUUUCCCAUAGCGUAAGCUAGUAAGAUCCCUGAAAGAUGAUCAGGUUGAUAGGUUCGAGGUGGAAGCAUGGUGACAUGUGGAGCUGACGAAUACUAAUAGAUCGAGGACUUAACCAU